rnacentral:rRNA from 1 species
GUAGGUGGCAAGCGUUAUCCGGAAUUACUGGGCGUAAAGCGCACGCAGGUGGUCUCUUAAGUUUGACGUGAAAGCUCCCGGCUUAACUGGGAGAGGUCGUUGAAUACUGGGGGACUUGAGGCAAUGAGAGGGGUGUAGAAUUCCCGGUGUAGUGGUGGAAUGCGUAGAUAUCGGGGGGAAUACCAGUGGCGAAAGCGGCACCCUAGCGUUAGCCUGACGCUCAUGUGCGAAAGCGUGGGGAGCGAACGGGAUUAGAUACCCCGGUAGUCCACGCUGUAAACGAUGAACACUAGGUGUAGGUGAUGUGAAAGUUAUCUGUACCGAAGCCAACGCGUUAAGUGUUCCGCCUGGGGAGUACGGCCGCAAGGCUAAA